CACCGCGGUUAUACGAGUAACCCUUAUUAAUAUUUACCCGGCGUAAAGGGUGGUUUAAGGAAAAAAUCUUUUAAUAAUUAAAGUUAAGACCCCAUUAAGCUGUUAUACGCUCUCAUGUGUGGAACUACCAGUAACGAAAGUAACUUUAUUACUCCAGACUUCUUGAUGCCACGAUAGUAGGCCC
rnacentral:rRNA from 1 species